CAGUCCUGAGAAGUAUAUGAAGAAAAAGUACAUCAAGAAGUAAGUGCUUUGAAAAAAAAUCUGCAAGAACAUGAAAAAUGACUUUAAGGAUAAUACUGAGAAGCGAAAGCCUUACGCACUGCCAGUACUGCCUAGCACUGUGCGGCCACUUAAUUGUUAAGAACAAGUAUCACACAGUGCUUGCGCAGAACACGAACAGAAACGGUGUGCGUGACCAAUGGUUAUUUAAGGACACAACAGCUCUUGAAUAACACAGUAAGUGAAACUACUUCCUAUACAGACAAGAAGGAGGGAGACGCUUGUGUUUUAGCCAGAAAGACUGUUUUGUAAAAUCUGCAUGCGUGAUAAGGCAUGGAUUUGGCAGCCUCUCGCCCGGGAGAAGAGCACAUUGGACAGGAGGUGUGUGCCCUCACAAUUUCAAGGGGAGAUCUGUUUGACGGAAAUUUCCAGGCACCUAUCCUGCUGGUGUUUUCCCAACACGUAUGAGGGCGCUGAGCACCCUCCGAUGUGCUGAAGCACUAAGGCAGGCACCUUUCAUAGCCCCACUCCACAGACCCUGCUAAGAAAUCAUAUGUGGUAGCAACAAGGAAAUCCGUGCACAGGAAAUUUAAACCGAGUAUCUCCUUGGAGCUAAGCCUGCAUGAGAAUUUCCUUGAAAUCUCAGCGAGUGGGGAGUCGGGGCAGGACACCUGGGCUGCCGAAACGAAGGGCCAGCUUGUCCAAACGGAAGUCAGCCAGGGGGACACGGCCCCGUCUCCACAUCUGCUGGCUUUUUAAAAUGAUCCCCCAGGACGCCAGAGCUAUGUGUCGUGCGGCGCGUACAGCCCACAGCCAAGGGAUAAUCAAAUUCUGUUGUUUCAAGGAUGCAUAUGGCUCUUCUUGACCAGGAAUAGCCCACACGUUUCAGAGGCGGAUAACGAGAAGCUUUAAACACUUGAGGCUAUAAAAGAACCGCUUCAGUAGCUUGGACCAAGAACUGAUUUCCAAUAGUGUCAGCAGAGAGUGGUUAGAGAAAAAAAAGAGCAACAGAGCAUGCAGCGCGUGAUCUUCUCUUGCCCUCUCCUUCAAACCUGCCAUAGGAGGUUGGCAUCAGUCUUCCCAGGUUAACACAGAUCUUUAAUGUGAAAUGACUGUUCCCGCUCAGGACAGGUUAUACCGCUCUACGGCAGUGUAACACAGGCUCAUGGAGCCAGAACUGCAGCCCUGCUGGCAGUCGCACCCAAAUAACUGCAUGCAUUAAAAAAGAAAACCACAAGACAAGACAGCUCAGUAAAUUGCCAGGUUGGCCAGUCUGGCCCGUCUGACAUGGGCACACUGACAGCGUGACAGUUUGCCCUUUCUGUGGGUUUUUGGCAGCGCCAGCCCUCCCUUCGGCCGAGCGCGGGUCCAGCUUGGCCCGUCCCGUCCCCAGAGGGUACCGAGCUGCUGCCUGCGUGGGGACUGCAAGGAUGCUGUGCAGCAGCGCAGGCUGCCUGCAGCGUUUUCAAAAUGCGCUUUUUUAUUGAUGAAAAGAACGUGAAAACAGAUGUACGACCAGCUCCAAAACGCCUUCCACACACCCUUAAGCAUACGUGAACUUCCUCACGUCCCGCCUUUGCUCCUACCAAAGCCGGUGGCAAAACCUUAGCUGAAUUGCCUCAUAGGACUGCGCUACUCGCAGCCCGACCGUAAUUCAGGACUUCGCAGGAGACGUGGGUCACGGAUGAACCAGCUGCCGCAGAGUUAACACAGCCCUACAGAGCUGCCACACGGGCGCUGCGUAUACCCUCUGCAGGUCCGUCACGCGGAAAUACGCCCAAGACACCUGCUGCACCAGCCUCUCGCCCAGUGCACUCUGCUUUAAAUGAGUCUCAGUCACUUUUCCACAUCUCUCAUGCCUGGUUGCAUCAGGCUCUCCAGCAGCACAUUUUCUUAAUCGUUAAAUACUUCAAAAAUGCAAGCAAAAGUAAUCUGUGGUUAAUAAUCUCUGCACUCCCAGUGCAAAAGCAUUGCGCCUGUUCAAAAUAAACAACAACCGACAACUUGAAAAAGAGCGUUCCCACAACAGGCUUUUAUUUGCAAUUCAUCUUCAUUAGGACAGGGACCUCUCAUCUUUAUGUUUAUGUGGGUGGUUUCCCCUUCACAGUAGUUUCAAGUCCUGCUAAAACGAGGCAGAUUUAUAUGCAGUCUUUGCUCUAAUU